GUUACUAGUGUUUUAGUGCGCCUAUAAAGUGUUUCUCCCCAUUCAAUAUCCUUAAUCAUUCUUCGAAAUUAGUUGAAUAUUAUAUUUUGUAUCUGAUUACGAUCUGUCCACAAUUUAGAAUUUAUCGCAAUCCUUCGAAAUUAAACUACCAAACGUUGAGAUUGGCUUAUAAUUAUCGUCAAUUAUUUUACGCAUGUUGCAUCCCCGGG
rnacentral:lncRNA from 1 species